GAUGAAGAACGUAGCGAAAUGCGAUAAGUAAUGUGAAUUGCAGAAUUCAGUGAAUCAUCGAAUCUUUGAACGCACAUUGCGCCCGCCAGUAUUCUGGCGGGCAUGCCUGUUCGAGCGUCAUUACAACCCUCAGGCCCCCGGGCCUGGCGUUGGGGAUCGGCGGAAGCCCCCUGCGGGCACAACGCCGUCCCCCAAAUACAGUGGCGGUCCCGCCGCAGCUUCCAUUGCGUAGUAGCUAACACCUCGCAACUGGAGAGCGGCGCGGCCACGCCGUAAAACACCCAACUUCUGAAUGUUGACCUCGAAGCAGGUAGGAAUACCCGCUGAACUUAAGCAUAUCAAUAAGCGGAGGA
rnacentral:misc_RNA from 1 species